CCCUAUGAGUAGCAACCAACAUCUAUGACUUUGGAAUUAUAACCCAGUGUUUUUUUUCUUAUCUUAGACAGAAGAAGCUUUAUAUGACCAUGAAGCACAGAUAACAUCAAGGCAUUGCACAGAUGGAGAAGUGUAAAUGGACUACUAUUAUCCCAAAUUUGAAGAGGAAUGAAAACUGAGGCUUGGAGAUAGCUGAAGCUGUGGACUCCUCUCCUCCGAGCAGUGCGCGAAGAGCUACGUUAAUCUCUG